UAUCGAACCUGCCCCCUUCAGGAAUAGCCCAGAGAAAUUUGGAUUAAUGCCCCAUGGUACCACGGAGUCGCAUGACUAUGUGGUUAAAGAUUUAUCGGAAGGGGAUGGCGAUGCGUAUCAUUAGCUUGUUGGUAAGGUAACGGCUUACCAAGGCAACGAUGAUUAGGGGCCCUGAGAGGGGGAUCCCCCACACUGGUACUGAGACACGGACCAGACUCCUACGGGAGGCAGCAGUGAGGAAUAUUGGACAAUGGCCGGGAGUUGAUCCAGCCAUGCCGCGUGCGGAUGACGGCCCUAUGGGUUGUAAACCGCUUUUGUACGGGAAGAGACCCCGCCACGUGUGGGCUGACGGUACCGUAAGAAUAAGGACCGGCUAACUCCGUGCCAGCAGCCGCGGUAAUACGGAGGGUCCGAGCGUUAUCCGGAAUCAUUGGGUUUAAAGGGUCCGCAGCGGGCCUGUAAGUCAGGGGUGAAAGGCCACGGCUCAACCGUGCCACUGCCCUUGAUACUGC
rnacentral:rRNA from 1 species